rnacentral:rRNA from 1 species
UACAGAGACUGCAAGCGUUAUUCGGAUUCACUGGGCGUAAAGGGUGCGUAGGCCGCACGGAAAGUCAGAGGUGAAAUCCCGGAGCUCAACUUCGGAAUUGCCUCCGAUACUCCCGUGCUUGAGGACUGGAGAGGAGUCUGGAAUUCACAGUGGAGCAGUGAAAUGCGUAGAUAUUGUGAGGAACACUAGUGGCGAAGGCGAGACUCUGGACAGUUCCUGACGCUGAGGCACGAAGGCCAGGGGAGCAAACGGG